rnacentral:lncRNA from 1 species
CUGAGUUGAGACCACAGCAGACGUUAACACAAGGAAACACAGCUGAUGCAUGAGACUGAAGGACAAAUCUUGACUCUUGGAGACCUCAGAAGGAAUUGAUGCAUUCUCAAAUGCUGGCUGAACCUGGGUUGGUCUAUUCAGUUGACAGGAUCCUAUGACUCUUUCCACAUCGUAUUAGAGCACUCCCUGUGAAGUAAGGACAAGAAUCAUGCUAACAGGGGAGAAAAACUGCCAUGUGGAAAUCCUGCACUCAACAUGUGAGGGGAGGUGAAAGCCAAGAAAUAGAAAGAUGUCCUUUCUGUAUGUGGCGAUGCUAAGGAAAUGCUGUCUCUACAUUGUUUAUCCGGAUCCACAGAAAAUGACUUUUGCGGUCACACUUCAUUUUGUAGCAUUUUUUGCAAAUCAUUUGGAUUAAGG